rnacentral:tRNA from 1 species
CCCGUUGGUCAAGUGGUUAAGACACCGCCCUUUCACGGCGGUAACAUGGGUUCAAAUCCCGUACGGACCUUU